rnacentral:rRNA from 1 species
GUAGGUGGCAAGCGUUGUCCGGAAUUAUUGGGCGUAAAGCGCGCGCAGGUGGUUCUUUAAGUCUGAUGUGAAAGCCCCCCGGGCUCAACCGGGGAGGGUCAUUGGAAACUGGGGAACUUGAGUGCAGGAGAGGAAAGUGGAAUUCCACGUGUGGCGGUGAAAUGCGUAGAUAUGUGGAGGAACACCAGUGGCGAAGGCGACUUUCUGGCCUGUAACUGACACUGAGGCGCGAAAGCGUGGGGAGCAAACAGGAUUAGAUACCCUGGUAGUCCACGCCGUAAACGAUGAGUGCUAAGUGUUGGGGGGUUUCCGCCCCUCAGUGCUGCAGCUAACGCAUUAAGCACUCCGCCUGGGGAGUACGGUCGCAAAGACUG